AACCAAUAAAAUCAAUCAUCUUCAGUUUUGAAAGACUUAGGAUAACUAAGUUUUUCUUCGUGACUUCACGAAGGGCCUAUAGCUCAGUUGGUUAGAGCACACGCCUGAUAAGCGUGAGGUCGGUGGUUCAAGUCCAUUUAGGCCCACCAGAGUUAUAGGUGUCGUAAGAACACAAAUUCUUUGAAAAU
rnacentral:misc_RNA from 1 species